GCCAACAUGGUGAAGCGGUUUGAAUGCUGGACUACGACUCUGGAGAUCAGGGUUCGAUUCACUGCGUGAGCA